rnacentral:rRNA from 1 species
GACGAACGCUGGCGGCGUGCUUAACACAUGCAAGUCGAACGGAAAGGCCCUGCUUUUGUGGGGUGCUCGAGUGGCGAACGGGUGAGUAACACGUGAGUAACCUGCCCUUGACUUUGGGAUAACUUCAGGAAACUGGGGCUAAUACCGGAUAGGAGCUCAUGCUGCAUGGUGGGGGUUGGAAAGUUUCGGUGGCUUGGGUUGGAAGUGCGGCUUAUCAGCAUGUGGGUGGGGUAGUGGUUUAGCCAGGCUUUGGCGAGUAGCCGGCCUGGGAGGGUGACCGGCCACAUUGGGACUGGGAGACGGGCCAGAGGCCUACGGGAGGCAGCAGUGGGGGAUAGAGCGCGAUGGGCGGAGGCCGGAUGGAGCAAUGCCGGGUGCGGAAUGUCGGCCUUCGGGUUGGAAAGCGCUUGAGCCUGGAACGUAGCGUGAGUGACGGUAAUUGGUAAAGAAGCACCGGCUAACUACGUG